UUCCACGGCCAUACCUGAACAUACCUGAACAUGCGUGAUCUCAGAGGCUAAGCAGGAUGGGGCCUGUUUUAGUGCUUAGAUGGGAGAUUCCCUGGGAAUAUCAGGUGUUGUAGGCU
ensembl:rRNA 5S_rRNA 5S ribosomal RNA